GGCGCCUUGGCGCAAUGGUAGCGCGUUGGUUUUCGGUCCCGUUCUGUUCACCAAAGGUUGUGGGUUCGAGCCCCAUGGGCGUCG